UAAAAAAGAAGCAAUACAGCUGCAUAGGCUAAAGCAAGAGAGCUGGCUUGGCAAAAAAUAACGGACAGAGUAAAUGCGUGUAAUCCUUCUGGAGCCACAAGAACUUUAAGCCAAGUCAAAAUGAAACACAAAAACAUUCUGCAAAAAGCUAACAGAAAGAAGACUGAAGCCCGUCUAACUGGCGGGGGGGGGGCACCACCACC